GACGAACGCUGGCGGCGUGCUUAACACAUGCAAGUCGAACGGAAAGGCCCUGCUUUUGCGGGGUGCUCGAGUGGCGAAAGGGUGAGUAACACGUGAGUAACCUGCCCUUGACUUUGGGAUAACUUCAGGAAACUGGGGCUAAUACCGGAUAGGAGCUCCUGCUGCAUGGUGGGGGUUGGAAAGUUUCGGCGGUUGGGGAUGGACUCGCGGCUUAUCAGCUUGUUGGUGGGGUAGUGGCUUACCAAGGCUUUGACGGGUAGCCGGCCUGAGAGGGUGACCGGCCACAUUGGGACUGAGAUACGGCCCAGACUCCUACGGGAGGCAGCAGUGGGGAAUAUUGCACAAUGGGCGGAAGCCUGAUGCAGCAACGCCGCGUGCGGGAUGACGGCCUUCGGGUUGUAAACCGCUUUCGCCUGUGACGAAGCGUGAGUGACGGUAAUGGGUAAAGAAGCACCGGCUAACUACGUG
rnacentral:rRNA from 1 species